GCCUCGAUAGAUCAGUCGGGAGAGCGUUAGACUGAUCUAAAGGUCCCUGGUUCAAUUCCGGGUCGCUGCA
rnacentral:tRNA from 1 species